rnacentral:rRNA from 1 species
AGUAUGUCUAGCCAUGCGAGUCUUUGCAGUAAUGCAAGGCAUACGGCUCAGUAACACGUAGUCAACUUACCCUAUGGACGAGGAUAACCUCGGGAAACUGAGCAUAAUACUCGAUAGAUCAUAAUGCCUGGAAUGGUUUAUGGUUAAAAUGAUUCGUCGCCAUAGGAUGGGACUGCGGCCCAUCAGCUUGUUGGUGAGGUAAUGGCCCACCAAGGCGAUUACAGGUACGGGCUCUGAGAGGAGAAGCCCGGAGAUGGGUACUGAGACAAGGACCCAGGCCCUAUGGGGCGCAGCAGGCGAGAAAACUUUGCAAUGUGCGAAAGCACGACAAGGUUAAUCCGAGUGAUUUCUGCUAAAGAAAUCUUUUGCAAGUCAUAAAACCACUAGUGAAUAAGGGGUGGGCAAGUUCUGGUGUCAGCCGCCGCGGUAAAACCAGCACCUCAAGUGGUCAGGAGGAUUAUUGGGCCUAAAGCAUCCGUAGCCGGCUCUGUAAGUUUUCGGUUAAAUUCAUGUGCUCAACGCAUGGGCUGCCGAAAAUACUGCAUAGCUAGGGAGUGGGAGAGGUAGACGGUACUCAGUAGGAAGGGGUAAAAUCCUUUGAUCUAUUGAUGACCACCUGUGGCGAAAGCGGUCUACCAGAACACGUUCGACGGUGAGGGAUGAAAGCUGGGGGGAGCAACCGGGAUUAGAUACCCGGUAGUCCCAGCUGUAACGAUGCAGACUCGAUGAAUGCAAUGUAAUAAUAGUAGUGCAUGUCGCAGCAGGUCCGAUUAAGAGU